CUCUAUAUUAGGUUUUGAACUGCGACACAUAUUUAGUUCAAUCCUGAAUCCGGAAUCCAAAAAUCAGAGGGAUUAUAAAGAACUCCUUCACUGCGACAAUGUAAGCAAAUCCCUGUGCUGAAUAUGUGAAUGACAUUUUUAGGAAAGGGCAGCCCGGGCGAGGGAACAGCAUGUACAAAGGCAGGGAGGCAAGAAGAGCCUGGGGUAUUCGAGCGACUGUCUGUUAGGUGCAACUCAGCUAUCCACUAUGCUCGGGGCAGGGGUUAAAGGGAGAGAUGAGGACAAAGAAGGAUUUAGAAGCAAAAUUCUGAGAGACUUUGCAAACCUGGACACAUGGAAUACUUGCGAAUCAAUAUAAACAGCUCAAUGCUGGGGCUCUGAGGUGAAGCUCUAGUGGUGGACGUUGGCCUGCCUUGAACUUUUGUAGUUGGUGCUGCUUUUAAGGAAGACCUUGAACUCAACAGGAGGAUCAGCGCUGUACCAACAAUAUGGCUAUGGAUUUGGGAAUAAGCAUUAGAUGCAACUAUCCACCGCUGGAGAUUGGUCUCAUUUCCCUUGACUGCUCUCUCCAGAGGCCACUUACUCCUCACACCAUGGCGGCUUUGGAAAAUUCUUUGUAUGAUAAGCCUUUGCAAAUAGGAUAAGCAAAUGAAGGACACAGGGAUCUUCCUUCUCUGUGGCUUUGCAGAUGGAGAAGUCAAAACUUGUUCCUGUCCAAGGUGGUUCCCGCCACAGUUUGGGGCAAUGUAACUGGCCUCACCAGUUUCCCGUAUUUGAUAUUCCCAUUGGGGAAUUCGUACCUUGGUGUACAAAGGCGCUACGUCAAAGAUGACUAUUACACAGGAACUGAAGAGGAGCCAAUGCAGGAUUGCUGCAUCCAAGAAAGCGUCUGCAAUUUCCUUUCGGGCUCUAAUGAUGAUCUUGUUUUCUUUACUAGAAGGUCUUAUUUGAAUCUCUCUUUUGUACUGUAUGCUAAAGCCACUUUUCACUUUCCAUUUACAUUUUUACGCAAUAUCUUUUUACUCAUUCUCCCCACCCAUGUUUCUCCUCCUUAGAGAGUUCAGAUGAGAAAUUGUAAAAAGCUAGUGUUGUCUCCACUGUUAAGACUGAAUGCUGAGGGAGGAGUUCCCAUCGUGGUGCAGCGGAAAUGA